ACCUAGUUACCUGUCAGAUCUAUAAAAAGAAACAGUCAACAGAGGUGUCACUAGACUUCAUAUGUUUCUAACCCAGCUGUACAGUUCAGCGUAUACAGCCUUACCAAAUUAGUAUUCUAGAGCGAGCAAAGAUGCCUGCUGCUUACUUCAUUCUCCUUCUGGGACUUUCCAUAACAUCGAAGGUUUUAUCAUGUGAGUAUAAUUAGUAAAAAUGAAUAUAAACUAUCUAUCUAUCUAUCUAUCUAUCUAUCUAUCUAUCUAUCUAUCUAUCUAUCUAUCUGUCUGUCUGUCUGUCUGUCUAAAGCAUACCCAUAUCUGUGUGUACAUUGUAUCUCUUAAUCUUAUUUUUGAACAAAGUGACAUAUUAAAAAAAAGGUAAUUCAAGUCUCUGUGCUAUAAACAAAGUAAUUCAAGUCUCUGUGUUGUAAACAAAGCAAUUCAAGUCUCUGUGCUAUAAACAAAGUAAUUCAAGUCUCUGUGUUGUAAACA
rnacentral:sRNA from 1 species